rnacentral:rRNA from 1 species
CGCGGUAAUUCGUAAAAGACUAGUGUUAUUCAUCUUUAAUAGGUUUAAAGGGUACUUAGACGGUAAAUAAAGCCCGAAUAGGGAACUAAUAUACUAGAGUUUGAUGUAAGGAAGCAUGAAAGUACUGUUGGUGUAGAGAUAAAAUUCUAUCAUACCAAAUAUGGCACAGGUUUAGGCGAAAGCAUCUUCUUAUGUAAUAACUGACGUUGAAGGACGAAGGCUUUGUGUCUCGAACAGGAUUAGAUACCCCAGUAGUCUAAGCAGACAAUGAUGAAUGUCAUAGAUUAGAUUUAAUUAAAUUUAUUCUAUAAAUGAAAGUGUAAGCAUUCCACCUCAAGAGUAAUUUGGCAACAUUGGAACUGAAAUCAUUAGACCGUUUCUGAAACCAGUAGUGAAGUAUGUUGUUUAAUUAGAAGAUACGCAAAAAACCUUACCACAAUUUGAAUUAGUAAUAUGUUUUCACAAGCGUUGCACGGCUGUCA